GACGAACGCUGGCGGCGUGCUUAACACAUGCAAGUCGUACGGUAAGGCCCUUUCGGGGGUACACGAGUGGCGAACGGGUGAGUAACACGUGAGUAACCUGCCCACAACUUUGGGAUAACGCUAGGAAACUGGUGCUAAUACUGGAUAUGUGCUCCUGCUGCAUGGUGGGGGUUGGAAAGCUCCGGCGGUUGUGGAUGGACUCGCGGCCUAUCAGCUUGUUGGUGGGGUAGUGGCCUACCAAGGCGGCGACGGGUAGCCGGCCUGAGAGGGUGACCGGCCACAAUGAGACUGAGAUACGGCCCAGACUCCUACGGGAGGCAGCAGUGGGGAAUAUUGCACGAGGGGCGCAAGCCUGAUGCAGCAACGCCGCGUGCGGAAUGACGGCCUUCGGGUUGGAAACCGAUUUCAGCAGGGACGAAGCUUUUUGUGACGGUACCUGCAGAAGAAGCACCGGCUAACUACGUG
rnacentral:rRNA from 1 species